GUGUGAACCAAUCUUAAGCUCUCUCUCUGGCUCGCUCUGCAUUAUCCUCUUCGUCUCUGCUCUGAGGAGGUUAACGAUGACAUCCUUGCUCCUCCCAAAUCCCGACUCGAUUACCACCACACCCCUCGUUUCCAACCUACGCUCCUUCCGGAGGUUCUUCUCUCUCAGACGCUCCUCCUUGCCCCGAAACUCAUCAUCAUCAUCUCUUCCACUAGUCGCUCUUUGCUCUCUCUCCGCAACUGCCGCAAAACCUACUACAGCGACCAGGUGGAGAGAGAAGCAUGAGUUAGCUGAAAGCGAUUCAAUCUCCAUCCUCAACGAGAGGAUUCGGCGCGACCUCGGAAAGAGAGAGACUGCUAGGCCGGCCAUGGACUCUAAGGAGGCCGAAAAGUACAUUCAGAUGGUGAAGGAACAACAAGAGAGGGGUCUUCAGAAGCUCAAAGGAGUUAGGCCAGGCUCAGACGGUGGUUUCAGCUACAAGGUUGACCCUUACACUCUCCUUUCCGGUGAUUAUGUGGUGCACAAGAAGGUUGGCAUUGGCCGUUUUGUCGGAAUUAAGUUGGAUGUCCCCAAGGAUUCUUCUGAGCCCCUCGAAUAUGUCUUCAUUGAGUAUGCUGAUGGCAUGGCCAAGCUUCCCCUCAAGCAGGCCUCCCGUCUCCUCUACCGAUACAACCUUCCUAAUGAGUCCAAACGGCCUCGGACUUUAAGUCGGCUGAGCGACACUAGUGUUUGGGAGAGAAGAAAGACCAAAGGAAAAGUCGCUAUUCAGAAAAUGGUUGUUGACUUGAUGGAGCUCUAUCUUCAUAGGCUUAGACAGAAGAGAUUUCCUUAUCCCAAAAACCCCGUCAUGGCUGAUUUCGCUGCUCAAUUUCCUUAUAACGCUACACCCGACCAGAAGCAGGCUUUCCUUGAUGUUGACAAGGAUUUGACUGAGAGGGAAACGCCUAUGGACCGAUUGAUAUGUGGAGACGUUGGAUUUGGUAAAACUGAGGUUGCUCUACGUGCCAUCUUUUGUGUGGUCUCCGCUGGCAAACAAGCUAUGGUUUUGGCACCCACUAUUGUUUUGGCCAAGCAACAUUACGAUGUCAUCUCUCAGCGGUUUUCCUUGUAUCCCCAAAUCAAAGUCGGUCUUUUAAGUCGGUUUCAGACCAAAGCAGAGAAGGAGACGUAUUUGGAAAUGAUAAAACACGGUCAUCUCAAUAUCAUUGUAGGUACUCACUCCCUUCUCGGAAGCCGUGUUGUGUACAGCAAUCUAGGCCUUCUUGUCGUCGAUGAGGAACAGAGAUUUGGGGUCAAGCAGAAAGAAAAGAUUGCAUCUUUCAAAACGUCAGUGGAUGUGCUUACCCUCUCCGCAACACCUAUACCAAGGACGUUAUACUUAGCUUUGACUGGAUUCCGGGAUGCCAGUUUAAUCUCCACACCUCCACCGGAGAGGAUUCCAAUAAAAACCCAUCUUUCAUCGUUCCGUAAGGAAAAGGUUAUCAAAGCAAUAAAAAAUGAACUGAAUCGUGGUGGCCAAGUUUUCUAUGUCUUGCCUCGAAUUAAAGGACUAGAGGAAGUGAUGGAUUUUCUUGAAGAAGCAUUUCCAGAUAUCGACAUUGCUAUGGCACAUGGGAAGCAAUACUCAAAACAACUAGAGGAAACCAUGGAGAGAUUUGCGCAAGGAAAGAUCAAAAUCCUCAUAUGCACUAAUAUUGUUGAAAGCGGACUUGAUAUUCAAAAUGCAAAUACCAUAAUCAUCCAGGAUGUUCAACAAUUUGGGCUCGCUCAGUUGUACCAGUUGCGUGGAAGGGUUGGCCGGGCUGAUAAAGAAGCUCAUGCCUACCUGUUUUAUCCUGAUAAAUCACUGCUCUCUGAUCAAGCACUGGAAAGGCUUAGUGCUCUUGAAGAGUGUCGCGAGCUUGGACAAGGUUUCCAACUUGCGGAGAAAGACAUGGGUAUAAGAGGUUUUGGGACAAUUUUUGGUGAACAGCAGACAGGAGAUGUUGGAAAUGUCGGCAUCGAUCUCUUCUUUGAAAUGCUUUUUGAGAGUCUAUCCAAGGUGGAGGAACUCCGUAUUUUUUCGGUUCCAUACAAUCUGGUGAAGAUUGACAUAAAUAUAAAUCCUCGGCUGCCGUCCGAGUAUGUAAAUUACCUGGAAAAUCCGAUGGAGAUCAUCAAUGAAGCUGAAAAAGCAGCUGAGAAAGAUAUGUGGAGUCUCAUGCAAUUCACAGAGAACUUACGUCGCCAAUAUGGGAAAGAACCUUACUCCAUGGAGAUCAUUUUGAAGAAGCUGUAUGUGAGACGAAUGGCGGCUGAUCUUGGAGUAAACAGAAUUUAUGCAUCAGGGAAGAUGGUUGUGAUGAAAACAAAUAUGAGUAAGAAGGUGUUCAAGCUGAUCACAGAUUCCAUGACUUGUGACGUUUACCGAAGCUCCUUGAUAUAUGAAGGAGAUCAAAUAAUGGCGGAACUUUUGCUGGAGCUACCAAGAGAACAGUUACUGAACUGGAUGUUCCAGUGCUUGUCAGAACUGCAUGCAUCACUCCCUGCUCUUAUCAAAUACUAGCUCCCCCUUCACUUCAGAGCCUCUCUUGCGCGUAGGAUGUUUUAGAAGGAGAGGGAUUCCUCAGCACUCAUUCGUGGAGUUUCCUUCAUAGAAUAGAACAUAGAAGAAUAAUGAUUUUUGUGUAUAAAUAUAUACAAGGGAAGCAUUUUAAUCAGGCAGCUAAAUUUGUUAAGGAUUUAAUGAGGAAGCAGUGAUGAAAACUGUCUAGCGCUGGCCCAGUAAAAAGCCCAUUUGUGUGUAUACAUCAAAUAUAUCUAGGGCCCAUUUGUGUGUAUACUCCAAAUAUAUCUACGCGUCCAAUAAUAUAUGUUUGCUUCUUCUU